rnacentral:rRNA from 1 species
CUACGGGAGGCUGCAGUGGGGAAUAUUGCACAAUGGGCGCAAGCCUGAUGCAGCCAUGCCGCGUGUAUGAAGAAGGCCUUCGGGUUGUAAAGUACUUUCAGCGGGGAGGAAGGGAGUAAAGUUAAUACCUUUGCUCAUUGACGUUACCCGCAGAAGAAGCACCGGCUAACUCCGUGCCAGCAGCCGUGGUAAUACGGAGGGUGCAAGCGUUAAUCGGAAUUACUGGGCGUAAAGCGCACGCAGGCGGUUUGUUAAGUCAGAUGUGAAAUCCCCGGGCUCAACCUGGGAACUGCAUCUGAUACUGGCAAGCUUGAGUCUCGUAGAGGGGGGUAGAAUUCCAGGUGUAGCGGUGAAAUGCGUAGAGAUCUGGAGGAAUACCGGUGGCGAAGGCGGCCCCCUGGACGAAGACUGACGCUUAGGUGCGAAAGCGUGGGGAGCAAACAGGAUUAGAUACCCGGGUAGUC